AAACUCUUUUACUUUGAUUAAAUCAAGGUGCUUAAAGCAAAAUCUUCUGUUAAUGAAUGAUGAAGCAUGGUAUAGAAUUAAAACAGAACAGAAAGAAAAACGAAUAAAUGGAGAUGGGCAACCAUUCGAAAUUUAUUUAUUUUUGUUUUGUUUAAAACAAGGU
rnacentral:rRNA from 1 species